CGCGGUAGAAUAAUCGGAAUAAGAGAGAGGUCUGGAUACCUGGAUUAUAAAAAAAAAAAAAAAGUCAAUAGAGACUUAUAUAGAGAAUACUAAGACAGUGAUUACACGUAUCCUUUAUCAUAACACACCUUGACGUUCACCCGAAAGGUGUACGGACCCACUCAUGAUUUUUUUUCUUUUUCAUUUAUAAAACUUUCUUAUAUAAUUUUUUUUGAAUUAUUUUUGAAAAACAUAAGUUGCAGGAAAUACAAAAACAUCAUAUUAUAUAAAGUUUGGUUCCAGUGACAAAAAAAAAUAAAAAAUAAAAAAUAAAGUCUAGUUCUUCGAAAUUGCUAAUUAACUUGAUCGUGAAACGUAGAAAUUAAAUUUAUGAUAAUGACAUGUGUUAAAAUAUAUUCUAAUUAAUAAGAUAAAUAUAAUAAGAUACUAAUGACUCAGUAGUAAUUUUUGUUUAUAAGAACCUAAACAAAAAUAAUUGUAAAAGAUGAUUUGAUAGUAAUUUUUUUUUUAAUUGUUUCUUUUCUAAAAAAAAGACAAAAGCUCAAAAAUCUUUAAUAAGUUUGAGGAAAAAACCUACUCCCUCUGUUUUUCAAAGAUGAAUGUUCUAGGAUUUUCACACUUAUUAAGAAACCAUAUUAAAACUUAGUUAUUAAUGCAUAGUUUUUUGUAACUUUAUAUUUCCUAUAUUUUUAAACCAAUAGGAUUAAAAGAAAUGUAAUUAAUAUUUUUGGAACACACAAUUUUUCAUUAUUAAUUGACAAAAUAUGCUUUGAAAACAUGAAAAAUACAUUUUUUUGAAACAAAAUAUUUUCCUAGAACAUCCAUCUUUAAAAAACAGAGGGAGUAAAAAUUAUUCUGGCCCACAAAAAAGCUGACGAAACAAAAAAAAUUCUAAUUUAUUUUAAUCGAGAAUAGAAGCCGAGAAAAUACACACCAGCGCAACCACAUCUUUAGAAAACUGAGAAGAGUAACUGAGAUAAAGGGUCAUGAGUGGUGAGGCUCGUCAAAGAAGGAAAAGAAGAGAAUAACGAGUUGGUGAUGCCAAGCCAGCCGUCUCUGAUUGUUUCCGUAAUCAGUCGCUGCCGGAGAGAUCUUUUUCAAGACUCGCCGUCGGUCAAUAAACGAUGAGCUUACGCAGUGAUGG
rnacentral:lncRNA from 1 species